rnacentral:pre_miRNA from 1 species
UUUUCAGUAUAAAAUUGUGUUCCAUGCAAUGUUGGGGACAUACUUACACUAAAA